UUUGUGAUCCAAGCCAUAAUUCUUACGUAACUCCUCAAAGGGUUGUGAAAUGUCGACUAUUAUCUACUCAUAUCACAGCCAUUUUGAUGAGUUUCGUGCGAAUCGCGGCAGCGGAUCAAAAAA
rnacentral:precursor_RNA from 15 species